GUUCGGAGCGGGCAGCAGAGUGAGAGGAAGCAGAGUGAUUGGGCUUUGGCUCAAGAGGCUGAGAUGUAAAGGGGCGAGGCGAGUGAGUAGUUGAAGGCAGCAUCCGUCAUAGGGUCAUCGUGUCGGACAACACAGAAGGACCUAUCCUGGGCCCAGCAUAUAGAUGCAUCCAUGAAGAAGACACACCAGUAUCUCUACUUUCUUAGAAGUUUAAGGAAAUUCGCCAUGUCACUGAAGAUUCUGACAAACUUCUACUGAUGUACAGCGGAAAGCAUUCUGACUGGUUGCAUCAUGGCCUGCUAUGAAACUCCAAUGCACAAGAACACAAGAGGCUACAGAGAGUGGUGGACUCAGCCAGCUCCAUCACGGGUACAGCUCUUCCCACCAUCGAGGACAUCUAUAAGAGCUGUUAUCUCAUAAAGCGUGGUAACAGGCCCUUCCAGCCCAACGAGUCCACGCCGCCCAUUUUAAACCCAAUUAACCUACCCGUACGUCUUUGCAAUGUGGGAGGAAACUGGAGCACCUGGAGGAAACCCACGCAGACACGUGAGAACGUACAAACUCCUUACAGACAGCGACGGGAAUCGAACCCCGAUCACUGGCGCUGUAAUAGCGUCGCGCUAAC